AAGGUUUGGUCCCAGCCUUGAAAUCAGUUAUUAUUUAAUAUACACAUGCAAGUCUCCGCACCCCUGUGAAAACGCCCUUAUUCUCCCCUACAGGGAGCAGGAGCCGGUAUCAGGCACAAAUUUUUGCCCAUAACACCUAGCAUCGCCACACCCACAAGGGACUUCAGCAGUGAUUAACAUUGAGCAUAAGCGAUAGCUUGACUCAGUUAAACUAAACAGAGCCGGCCAAUCUGGUGCCAGCCGCCGCGGUUACACCACUAUGGCUCAAAUUGAUUUCUAUCGGCGUAAAGCGUGAUUAAAGAUUAAUCUUUUGGAGUUAAACUAAAAUUAAGCUGUGACACGCUUAUUACCUAAGAAAAUCAUAAACGAAAGCUACUCCAAUAUUACCAACUUGAAUUCACGACAACUGAGAAACAAACUGGGAUUAGAUACCCCACUAUGCUCAGUCGUAAACUUUAACUUACAUCUUCUCCUCGCCAGGGAACUACGAGCUAAGCUUAAAACCCAAAGGACUUGACGGUACCCCAUAUCCCCCUAGAGGAGCCUGUCCUAUAAUCGAUAACCCCCGUUUUACCUCACCAUUUUUUGUUAAUCAGCCUGUAUACCUCCGUCGUCAGCUUACCACGUGAGCGUGUGAGCUAAAUGUUUUUUUAACCACACGUCAGGUCAAGGUGCAGCAAAUAAAAUGGAAAGAGAUGGGCUACACUCUCUAUUCUAGAGUAAACAAAAGACUAAAUGAAACCCGGUCAGAAGGCGGAUUUAGCAGUAAAAUGAAACUAGAGCGUUCAUUUAAACAUGGCACUGGGGUGUGUACACACCGCCCGUCACCCUCCUCAAUGCUUCAAAACAGUAUUUUACACUUUUUAGCUCCACAGAAGAGGCAAGUCGUAACAUGGUAAGUAUACCGGAAGGUAUGCUUGGAAU
rnacentral:ncRNA from 1 species